rnacentral:rRNA from 1 species
CAGUAGCCACGGGAAUACGUAGGUGGCAAGCGUUGUCCGGAAUUAUUGGGCGUAAAGCGCGCGCAGGCGGAUAGGUCAGUCUGUCUUAAAAGUUCGGGGCUUAACCCCGUGAUGAGAUGGAAACUGCCAAUCUAGAGUAUCGGAGAGGAAAGUGGAAUUCCUAGUGUAGCGGUGAAAUGCGUAGAUAUUAGGAAGAACACCAGUGGCGAAGGCGACUUUCUGGACGAAAACUGACGCUGAGGCGCGAAAGCCAGGGGAGCGAACGGGAUUAGAUACCCGUGUAGUCCCUGUCUCUUAUACA